GUUACCUUCUGUGCGUGGAUUACCCAGUGUUACAGUAUCUUGGUACGUGUUGUCCUGUGUAGCCUGCUCUGCUCAUUGCUCUCUUCCGGUUUCUAUGGUUUUUGGUUUCUUUUGGAUUCCUUGUUUUUGGACUUGUUAUCAGCCACUCCGCCUGGAAGACUUCUACAUGGACUCCUCUGAAUCAGAAGUUGAAAUUCUCUCCGUUCUCCCGUCAGGUGCAACGGCCUCAAUGCAUUCAAAUAUUCCUCAUGAUUGAACUGCAGACCAGGGAGGCUACUUUUCAGCUAUGACCAACAGGCGUUUGCACAAAACAAGUUUUACACUGCGGGAAAGCUGGUGGCCUGGUCCAUUAUCCAAAAUGGACCUGGAAUCCGAUGCCUGGGGGGAAAUAAGACCCAUUUCUGCUCGUGUGGCCAGAAGCCAGAAAUGACCUUUGAUCUGGAUAUUUUCCAGGAAGAGGAAUUGGAGAUUAAGCAUGAAAAGAACCCCACACCUACCACAACUUGGCAAUAAAGCAGUCUUAACUGGACAUUCUGGACUAUUUUGUGACUUGACUUGUUACUUCAGUUGUGUCUAAAUUUUACUACAGAGUACCAGCUGGUGUCGGCUGCUAAACAUUACACCUGAUCUUCAUCAACUGCAGAGCAAACUGGAGACAUGGCAGGACUGUCAGUUCAUGGCUCCUGAUGUUUCUGAUCCAAGUGUUCAUCCUCCUGGAGACUCGGACAGAGUUUUCUUCAUCUUUGCUCAUAAUUGCUCUUCGUGUGUUGUCUUAACUGCUUCAUCUCUUCCCCUCCAUGAAUGGUCUCCUUAUGAACAGCUCCACUGCUGGGGUAACCUCCAUCACCAAAAACACCAGCUGCACAUCUACAAGAUAAAAACAAGGACACUAAGAGACAUGUUUGUAUCUUCAUGUGGAUCAUUAAGAAGGGGAGCAGAUCUGCUGGAGUCAACACUGCAAUGUUUCACUUCAACCACAAGAGGGCACAACAGGCCUCCUGACAGGCAACUAAAUGCUUACCAUUGUUGACUUUAUAACACAAUCUAAUAAUUCAGAUGCACAUUUCAGGACAUUUAUAUAAAGAGUAAAUAAACUGAGUCUGCAGGCUGGUAUCCAGAGCCUGAGGUGUGAGGACGGUGAGGGAAACCUCCUCUCUGCUGGACCUACAGAGACAGUCAGAGGUCCUGAUGACCUCUAUACUGUCAGCAGCAGAGUGACUGUGGAGAAGAGACACAGCAACAGCUUCACCUGUAGACUCCAACAGAAGGACAUGUACCAUGAUGUUCUGGGAUUUAUAAUUUCAGUUUAUAGCUUCUCAGUCCUGUCGAGGCAUGUAAGAAGUGUCUUGGCUCCAGGAUUUAUGGGUCGUGUGUGUGUGGUUUUUUUUUUUUUUUUUAAUAUUUCAAGAUACCAUCACUACUUGUUUCUGUGAAGGAAGUUAGAGGUACUAUGACACAGGUUACCUCAGGUCAUGAAAGAAUCAAUUGCUGAGCUAACGCUAAGACAAAGCUGACAGCAAGGGACAAAUCAAUAGGUCAGACUCUGUCAUUCCUCUCUGCCUGUUUGGUCAAUUGGCUGAAGGAGCGGUCUUGAUAAAGAUGUACUGCUAUCCAUUUGUUUGUUAACCCAAGGUCGAGAUUCUUUGUUUCAUUACAGACUGACUGGCUCUCUGUAUAAAGUGUCGCAUAUGGCUUGAAUGACACACAACAUGUCUUCAUAUGAACCAAUAGACUCUUCACACAUGUAGAAAGGGGUGAACAAUAACCUUAUUUGAACACUUAGUGAAUGAAGGAUUCAUAUCCCCAGACAUGAGGUCACGUGUCCACACUUUGUAGUCUGGCACUCUCAUCUCAGCCAAGUUUCAUUAAACAAUACUGUGUAAGUCUUCAUCAGUCUCUAAAACUUCAUCACACCUGGUUCAUAUUACUGUUGUAACAGUUUCCUCCUUUUAUUGUAAUGGAUAAAAGCUUUGUAACCAC